rnacentral:rRNA from 1 species
UUUAUAAUUUUUUAAAUUGAUUACUAAAAGAUAAAUUACUUUAAUGGAAAUAGUAAAAAUUUAUAUUUUCUAAUAUAUUGUACCUUUUGUAUAAUGGUUAUAUUAAAAUUUCAUUAUUUAAAAGUCCCCGAACUAAGAAGAGCUAACUUUUAAAUAGUACUUUAGUACAAAUAGAGUAACUAUGUUGAAUUAUGGUUAGAAAAUUAUUAGUUAGUAGUGAAAAACUCUCAAUUCUUAAGAUAUCUGGUAGUUUUGGAAAGGCAUUUAGUGCUAAAAGAAUUAAACAUAAAGUGAUUAGAUUUUAUGUAAAUAAUAUUUUAAGUUUAAUUUAUUUCUUUCUAGCGUUAACCCUAAUGAAAAUUUAGACUUACAUUAAAUUUUUUAUUGUUAUAAUUUAUUUUUUACAAAACACAUUUAAUUAAUUCUAAUUAAAUUCUAAAAUGUAUAAAUUAGUAAUAAUUUAAAAUAAGAAUUCUUAUUAAUAAUUGAAAACUUUAUUGCAAGUAAAAAGUUUUAUAAAUAGUUUAAAGGAACUCGGCAAAUAUAAAUUUCGACUGUUUAACAAAAACAUAGCCUUAGGGGAGUGAUCUAAGGUUAAACCUGCUCAAUGUAUAAAUUUUCAAUACAAUAUAAAUAGCCGCGGUACUCUGACCGUGCUAAGGUAGCGCAAUAAAUUGGCUUUUAAUUGGAGUCAGGUAUGAAUGGAAUUACGGAGUUUAUCUGUCUCUAAACUAAUUUUUUGAAAUUACUGUAUAGGUGAAAAAGCCUAUGUUAAUAAAAUAGACGAGAAGACCCUUAGAGUUUUAUUUAAUGUAAAUUAUUCUUACAACAAUUUAGUUGGGGCAACUUAGGAACAGAAAUUCUACAUUAACUUCCUAAAAUAUGAUUACUUAACGAUUUUAAUAAUACUGUAUAAACUACCUUAGGGAUAACAGCAUAAUUUAUUAUAUAAGUUUGUGACCUCGAUGUUGGACUAGGGAAUUAAAAGGUUAGCCACUUUUUAAAAAGGUUCUGUUCGAACUAUUAAUCCUACAUGAUCUGAGUUCAGACCGGCGUGAGCCAGGUCAGAUUCAAUCUUUUUAAUUUAAGAACUUAGUACGAAAGGACCAGUUUUUAGUACAUAAAUG